ensembl:lncRNA
GACAAACCCCAGCUGUGCAGCCCAGGGACUAUCUCCUACGAGAGCCUGGCCAUGGGCAGCCCUUAGCGUGGCUCUUGGGGCACCCGCCCGUUAACCCGAACCCUGCUUACUAGGCAGCGGUUGCCACAGGACCGUUGGCGACCAACUGUCAAUGAGUGACCGUUAGUGGUCCUGCUUAGCCAUUGGCCAAUCUGUAGCGUGCCCCUCCCUCAAGCAACUGUCAACGAGCAACUAACUGUCAACGAGCAACUGUUACUGGGACCAUUCAGUCCAUGGUCCUCAGAGUGGUGGUCCUCAGGCAGAGUGAGCUGAGACGAUUCCAAUUGUUUUACAGUGUGCAGCUGCCGCUAGAUACUAAUGAUAUUUUCUCUGGUUCAACAAUGUGGAUCAGGAAGAUGGGCAUGGCAACCCACUCCAGUAUUCUUACCUGGAGAAUCCCCUGGACAGAGGAGCCUGGUGGGCGGCAGUCCAUGGGGUCACAAACAGUGGGACAUGACUGAGCAGCUAACACUACAUACAUAUAUCCUCUCCCUCUUGAACCUUCCUCCCACCAUCCCACCCCAUCCAACUCCUCUAGGUCAUCAGAGAGCACCAGGCUGAGCUCCCUGUACCAUACAGUAACUUCCCCACUAGCUAUCUAUAAUUACUUUACAUAUGGUAAUGUACAUGUU